AGAGUUUGAUCAUGGCUCAGAAUCAACGCUGGCGGCGCGCUUAACACAUGCAAGUCGCACGAGAAAGGGGAGCAAUCCCUGAGUAAAGUGGCGUACGGGUGAGUAACACGUGGAUCAUCUACCUUUUAGUGGGGAAUACCCCCGGGAAACUGGGGACAAUACCGCAUAAGCUCGUGAGAGGAAAGCAGCAAUGCGCUGAAAGAGGAGUCCGCGGCUGAUUAGCUAGUUGGUGAGGUAACGGCCCACCAAGGCGAAGAUCGGUAGCCGGCCUGAGAGGGCACACGGCCACACUGGCACUGAAAUACGGGCCAGACUCCUACGGGAGGCAGCAGUGGGGAAUCUUGCACAAUGGAGGAAACUCUGAUGCAGCGACGCCGCGUGAACGAUGAAGCCCUUCGGGGUGUAAAGUUCUUUCGACGGGAACGAUAAUGACGGUACCCGAAGAAGAAGCUGCGGCUAACUACGUGCCAGCAGCCGCGGUAAUACGUAGGCAGCAAGCGUUGUUCGGAAUUACUGGGCGUAAAGAGUGCGUAGGCGGUGCUCUAAGUCUGUUGUGAAAUCUCCCGGCUUAACUGGGAGGGUGCAGCGGAAACUGGAGUGCUUGAGGGUGGGAGAGGUAAGCGGAAUUCCUGGUGUAGCGGUGAAAUGCGUAGAUAUCAGGAGGAACACCUGUGGUGUAGACAGCUUACUGGACCACUUCUGACGCUGAGGCACGAAAGCGUGGGUAGCAAACAGGAUUAGAUACCCCCGUAGUCC
rnacentral:rRNA from 1 species